UUGAUCUCAAAUCAGGUAGGACUACCCGCUGAACUUAAGCAUAUCAUAAAGCCGGAGGAAAGAU
rnacentral:rRNA from 1 species